GUGUUUGCUUUGGUAUAUAUAUUAAAAUUGGAAUGAUAUGGAGAAGAUUAGUAUGGCCCCUGAGCAAAGAUGACACACAAUUCGUGAAGAGUUCCAAAUUUUU